UACAGGAGGGUGCAAGCGUUGUUCGGAAUUAUUGGGCGUAAAGCGCGUGUAGGCGGCUUUGCAAGUCGGAUGUGAAAGCCCUCGGCUCAAACCGAGGAAGUGCGUUCGGAAAACUGCAGAGCUUGAGUGCCGGAGAGGGUGGCGGAAUUCCCCAAGUAGGAGGUGAAAGUUCGUAGAUGAUGGGGAGGAACACCGGUGGGCGAAAGGCGGCCGACC
rnacentral:rRNA from 1 species